UCUAAUCGCAUUCUACUUAAUAUUUUAAAAAGGGAAAUUACUCAAAAAUCUGACAUGCUGGGAAAUUCUGCGGCCAGAUUCGUUUUCAGCAUAAAAAGAACUCUAUCAGAUUCACCUACUCUAGUGCUUUUUGUAAUUAACGAACCUAAAUUUUCGCGGGCAGUUUUGUGUUGUUUAUUAAAAAUUUUAGAAUCUAUUCAGAUCUCAUGAUUAUUCUCGAAAGGUGAGACAAAAAUUGACUGUGAAAAAUCGAUCUCUCCGUUCUAACGGUUCAUGUUGGAAUCUCAUAAUCUUUAAUAUGGAAUGCCUAACGAGAUUUCGUGACUCGGGCAAAAUUCCAGAUCGAUUCGUCGGAGACCAGUCGCAUGACGGUGAAUUCGUUGGUGCUUCGCCUUGAACGAACAAGGAAGUGAGCGAUAGACACAGGCGAUAUAGACCCGAUAGACAAUGUCGAGGGACCUGACGGUAAUCGCGCGGGAUACGCCUUGAUGAUGUUCAUCCGAGGAUGUAUUCCUAUCUACGAUUGCGCAACGAUUGAACGGACGGCGAAACAAUGCGUGCGUCGUCGUGAGCUAAACGGAAAGGGACGACUGUCGGGAUCGUGACGCGGUGGCCUUGGAGCAAUCCCGAUCGGAUGACCCCGUCUCCUCUCGCGGAACCGGCGGGAUCCGAAAAUGACAAUAAGUCGGCGAUGAUGAUGAUGGUGAAACGUUCCGUACGCGGCGUCCGUCCGCCGUCGCUGCGAGGAUGACGAGGACGUGGACGGUAUGCGGCUUCACGCGGCUUCUCGUCCUCGUACCCGUUACCGUCUGCGCGACGAUCACCUACGUCAACGGCAACGAGGACUCGUCCCCGCGAUGCAACGAUCGCGGUUACGCUAAUCGCAGCAAUAAAACCUUCUCCCAGUGUAAAUACGACGUCGACUGUAUUCCGAACGCGUUUUGCCGGAACCAGCAGACCUGCUCGUGCAAAGAUGAUCACAUCGAGUUUAGGAGUAAUAAUAACUACAAAUGUUUAAGAGUGGCUGCUCGCAUCGGCGAUCCCUGCGAGGAGGACAUCCAGUGUGCGUUUACGUUUACACCGCAAUCGGAAUGUCGAGGAGGCACUUGUCAAUGCGCCCACGAUUCCCACUUCACGGACGGGAGGUGCUACGAGUCCGUCGGUUUGGGAAAACGCUGCCGCUCGAAUCGCAAUUGUCAUAUCAAGAACACUUUUUGCGAAUACGGUUUUUGUACCUGCGGUUUGCGUCAUCAUGCGAAUCCUGACAACACUAGCUGUCUGCCAAGCGCCAAAUUGAGCGAACACUGCAACAACGAUGACGAAUGCAUCGUGGAACAUUCCAAGUGUAUGCACAACAAAUGCGACUGUAAAGUGGAUUACGUGCUAGCCAAAGGCGAUCAGCGGUGCUUGAAAGCCGCUUCCUGGGUCGGCGAGAAGUGCGAACAGCAGUCCCAGUGCCAACUGUUCCUGAAGCAUAGCCAAUGCGGCACGAACAAGACGUGCGAAUGCGUCGUCGGUUCCCACAAACGUGGCCAUCGAUGCUUCGUCGAUGUAGAACUAGGAGGCCGUUGCGAAACUCACCACCACUGUAUCACGACAACUUUGAGGGAAUCCAAUUCGACUUGGAAAUCGAAAGUGGACUGUAUUGAUGGUUUCUGCACCUGUACAGAAGGCUAUACGUUGAUGGAGCAACUGCAGGAUUGUGUUCAGUUCAGUGAUAAUGGCGCAACGAGAUGGCAAGUACAUAGAAUACUUCCUCUUGCCGUUAUCGCAAGAUACCUUAUGCGAUAAAGAUGGCGGGUAACAAUCCGUAUUCUACAGCAUGAAAACUUGUCGAUUUAUUAAUUUAAAACUAAAAAAGACAGUAUCGAAUCUACUAAAUUAUUAAGAACACUAGUUUCUUUUCUUACUUCUAUUUACUACAGUCAGUUAUUGACUAGGACACACUAGAAUUGAGCAAAGGGUCAAUCUGCACACGCGUAAAGCUUCGUAAUAAUUACACACAACUGUGUUCUAUUUCUAUAACAAUAAUAUAAUACUUUGCUAAGUUCAGUAAACACUGUUUGCUGUUAUCUCAAUAAAAUUAUAUAGAUGAUUAUCUAGAUAAAAUUUUAGCGUUAUCUUAUCUUUAUAUGUAU